rnacentral:misc_RNA from 1 species
AAGUCGUAACAAGGUAACCGUAGGUGAACCUGCGGUUGGAUCAUUAAAAAGAUUUAGUUUGGGAAUGGAAAAUCUUAAUGAUUGCCAUUUCACUCAAACCCUUGCACUAUGCAAGGAAUGCGAGUCACCUUGAUGUGCACUGUGAAUGUCUUUGGCAGGGGAUGAAGCCAGUUUGUGGAGGACAAGGUCUUCCGGGAUCUGGUCUUUAUCCGUCAGUCUGGGUCACAAGCCGAGGCCGUGGACAACCUGCCAACCACUAGAAAACAAAACACAUUUUUCCUUUGUUUUUUGAAUCUGAUUUUUGUCAUGCCAUUACUUUGGCAUGGCAAUGAAAAAAUUGAAACAACUUUUGGCAAUGGAUCUCUUGGCUCUC